UUUUUGGCAAGUGUAAGUGUAUGUUUGUGUGUGAGUGUGACUGCCAAAAGUAGGCAAUACAAAGCACCGUUAGUGUAAGUGUGUGCGUGUGUGUGUGUGUGGCGUGUUUUAUUUAUUGGUCAGUUGCAUUGUGUGGGUGCAACGGCAACAUUCACCCGGAAGUGAUUUGUAUAAAGCAAAAGUCGCUGAAAUUUCACACCACAAGAAACCCCCUCAAAAUACUUCACCGCACCCCACCACACCACACCUUUAGCUCUCGCUCCCGCUCACGCUCCCGCUCCACAAAGAGGCAAAGAGGCGAGCGGAAAUUGUUGCCACUUGGCUGCCAGUGUUGUUGCUAAACACAUUUAUAGGCAAAAGUUAAUGAAUGUUGCAGGCAUUUGCAAGUGCAACAAAUUGCGGCAAGCUGCAGCCUCAACAAUUGUAAUAAAACUUUGAACAAAAGUAAUUAAAAGCGAAGCAAAGUUCAUUUUGGGGCGCUAUGCGACAACUCAAUUGCUAAAA